GAUGAAGAACGCAGCGAAAUGCGAUAAGUAGUGUGAAUUGCAGAAUUCAGUGAAUCAUCGAAUCUUUGAACGCACAUUGCGCCCCUUGGUAUUCCAUGGGGCAUGCCUGUUCGAGCGUCAUCUACACCCUCAAGCUCUGCUUGGUGUUGGGCGUCUGUCCCGCCCCCGCGCGUGGACUCGCCCCAAAUCCAUUGGCAGCGUUCCUUGCCCCCUCUCGCGCAGCACAUUGCGCUUCUCGAGGGCGGCUCCUGGGACGCGAUCCAGCAAGAUGACCACCGUCUUUGACCUCGGAUCAGGUAGGGAUACCCGCUGAACUUAAGCAUAUCAAUAAGCGGAGGA
rnacentral:misc_RNA from 1 species